rnacentral:rRNA from 1 species
AGAGUUUGAUCCUGGCUCAGGACGAACGCUGGCGGCGUGCCUAAUACAUGCAAGUAGAACGCUGAAGAGAGGAGCUUGCUCUUCUUGGAUGAGUUGCGAACGGGUGAGUAACGCGUAGGUAACCUGCCUUGUAGCGGGGGAUAACUAUUGGAAACGAUAGCUAAUACCGCAUAACAAUGGAUGACACAUGUCAUUUAUUUGAAAGGGGCAAUUGCUCCACUACAAGAUGGACCUGCGUUGUAUUAGCUAGUAGGUGAGGUAACGGCUCACCUAGGCGACGAUACAUAGCCGACCUGAGAGGGUGAUCGGCCACACUGGGACUGAGACACGGCCCAGACUCCUACGGGAGGCAGCAGUAGGGAAUCUUCGGCAAUGGGGGCAACCCUGACCGAGCAACGCCGCGUGAGUGAAGAAGGUUUUCGGAUCGUAAAGCUCUGUUGUAAGUCAAGAACGAGUGUGAGAGUGGAAAGUUCACACUGUGACGGUAGCUUACCAGAAAGGGACGGCUAACUACGUGCCAGCAGCCGCGGUAAUACGUAGGUCCCGAGCGUUGUCCGGAUUUAUUGGGCGUAAAGCGAGCGCAGGCGGUUUGAUAAGUCUGAAGUUAAAGGCUGUGGCUCAACCAUAGUUCGCUUUGGAAACUGUCAAACUUGAGUGCAGAAGGGGAGAGUGGAAUUCCAUGUGUAGCGGUGAAAUGCGUAGAUAUAUGGAGGAACACCGGUGGCGAAAGCGGCUCUCUGGUCUGUAACUGACGCUGAGGCUCGAAAGCGUGGGGAGCGAACAGGAUUAGAUACCCUGGUAGUCCACGCCGUAAACGAUGAGUGCUAGGUGUUGGAUCCUUUCCGGGAUUCAGUGCCGCAGCUAACGCAUUAAGCACUCCGCCUGGGGAGUACGACCGCAAGGUUGAAACUCAAAGGAAUUGACGGGGGCCCGCACAAGCGGUGGAGCAUGUGGUUUAAUUCGAAGCAACGCGAAGAACCUUA